CAGUCGCCACGGUAAAACGUAGGUGGCAAGCGUUGUCCGGAAUUAUUGGGCGUAAAGCGCGCGCAGGUGGUUUAAUAAGUCUGAUGUGAAAGCCCACGGCUCAACCGUGGAGGGUCAUUGGAAACUGUUAAACUUGAGUGCAGGAGAGAAAAGUGGAAUUCCUAGUGUAGCGGUGAAAUGCGUAGAGAUUAGGAGGAACACCAGUGGCGAAGGCGGCUUUUUGGCCUGUAACUGACACUGAGGCGCGAAAGCGUGGGCAGCAAACAGGAUUAGAUACCCCGGUAGUCCCUGUCUCUUAUAC
rnacentral:rRNA from 1 species